UACGUAGGUGGCAAGCGUUGUCCGGAUUUACUGGGCGUAAAGAGCGCGCAGGCGGUCGUUCAAGUCGAGUGUGAAAGCCCCCCGGCUCAACUGGGGAGGGUCACUCGAUACUGAUCGACUCGAAGGCAGAAGAGGGAAGCGGAAUUCCCGGUGUAGUGGUGAAAUGCGUAGAUAUCGGGAGGAACACCGGUGGCGAAGGCGGCGACCUGGGUAGAUACUGACGCUGAGGUGCGAAAGCGUGGGGAGCAAACAGG
rnacentral:rRNA from 1 species